rnacentral:rRNA from 1 species
GGAGCAAAACUCAAAAACUUGUCUCAGUUCGGAUUGUAGGCUGAAACUCGCCUACAUGAAGCUGGAGUUGCUAGUAAUCGCGAAUCAGCACGUCGCGGUGAAUACGUUCCCGGGCCUUGUACACACCGCCCGUCACACCAUGAGAGUUGGCAAUACCCAACGUACGUGAUCUAACCCGCAAGGGAGGAAGCGUCCUAAGGUAGGGUCAGCGAUUGGGGUGAAGUCGUAACAAGGUAUC